rnacentral:pre_miRNA from 1 species
UGGGCAGAUUAUUGUAUUCGACUGUAUUCACGGCGUGAAAUAAGGGAUUACACUGUUUUAAAUGGAAGUGAACCAAUUAAAUAGACUCCU